GCCUGGGGAAAUUCGCAUGCGAGGAAGGAGACAGAACUAGCAAACUGGGCAUUUCAAGGGUUUAAAGCUGCAUUUCAGGGCACUUCUACCCACACCCCGGCACCAAAUAUUUCCAACGGGAGCAGGCCCAGCGGGUAUGUAACGUGAAGAGGCUCUUUCACCUUACUUCAGCCUGCUAAAAGCAGGCAUCUUUUGGGCAUUUGAAGCAGCAGAAGUUUUGAAGACACCUUGAAGAAAACAAUAUUGAAUACAGGGAGUAUUUAAGUUAAUGAUUCUGGGCUGGGGGUUCAGGGGCGAUAAGAUGCUUUUAUAAUGACUCUUCUUCAUGGCUUUUUUUUUAGGAGGAUUGCAAUUUCCAGAAGUUCUAGAUCACGUCAAGUGCGAUGUUUCUGAUUCUCUCAGCAGAUUCAUCGUAACACAAAGGGAACCGCCCCCACAGCAGCUUUCCUUAGCAGCAGAUCGGCCUCUCGCACGGAUUCGCUUCGGAGAGAUAAGUCGAGGGCUGUGGUCACAGAGGGGAUCAAAACAGGGCGGUGGGGUAGGAUUCACACCGGUUAGGGGUUUUGAGUCAUGCGGAGGGGAAGGUUUGAGAAAUGGCCUCUGGGGCCACAGUGAGGGAAAGGCUCACUUUAGCUAACAAUGCUGAGGUGGGCAGGGCAGAGCAGUCCCAGGGUGGGUUGUCACUUGUCUCUCGUGCUUUCGUAUCUUCUGUGCAUCUCAUGUAAAGCGUCUCUUGCCUUAGCCCUCCCAGGAGCUUAUGAGAAAGACCAGGUCCUUCCGUUCAUCUCCCAUCUUUGCGUUCCUCGGCCCGACGCCGGCGAAACUUCGAUUCGGGAGCUCAGACAGGCAUCAGAAUCGCAUCUGUCUUUAGAAGCAUGUGAUCGGAUGUUUUUUUAGGUCUUGUUCUCAGCUGUGUUGACAGCUAUGUGCAGCAAUGUUUCUUUACAGUGGAUAAGGACUUGUGCCGAUUCAAAGGCAGGCAGAG